GCCCUGUAACGCAAAAGAUAGCGCUUUGGAUUUCUAAUCCAAAGAUCGUGGGUUCAAUUACCACCUGGAAUG